AGAAGCCACCCAGAGGAUGGCUUGGCUCGGACGCCGAGGAAGGGCGUGGCAAGCUGCGAAAAGCCCCGGCGAGGCGCAUGCAGCCUUAGAACCGGGGAUGCCCGAAUGGGACUUCCCGACGGGGUAAAACCCCGUCGCUCCCGGCAGGGAGCGGGAACGCCCCGAACGGAAACAUCUUAGUAGGGGCAGGAAGAGAAAGCAAUCGCGAUCCCCUUAGUACCGGCGAGGGAAGAGGGGAGAGGGCAAACCGAACCUGGUGGGGAAACCCACUGGGGAUGUGGGGUUGUAGGACCUCCUCCAAUUCCUCGCACCCGAAGCCGAACUCGCCUGGAAAGGCGGGCCAUAGAGGGUGAAAGCCCCGUAGGCGCAAGGGUGCAGGAUACGAGGGGAGGGAUCCUGAGUACCGUGCCUUGAAUAUGGCGCGGGAAGCUGGGGGUACCAACCUCCAACCCUAAAUACGUUCCGAGACCGAUAGCGAACACAGUACCGCGAGGGAAAGCUGAAAAGCACCCCGGGAGGGGGGUGAAAAGAGCCUGAAACUGGGUGGCGACAGGUGGACACGGCUCGAAAGCGAUGCUCCUUCCCAAAGGGGAGGAUCGCGAGGUCCUUCUCGAGGGAGGGUAAGCGGGGUCGUGUCGUCCGUCUGGAAUCACGGGCCAGGGAGUUUGCCACCGUGGCGAGGUUAAGGUUUCGAAGCCGGAGCGAAAGCGAGAAGCCCGCAGCCCGCAAGGGUGAGGGGCCGGGUGUGAAAGCGCCUGGAGUCACGGUGGCAAGACCCGAAACCGGGCGAUCUAGUCCGGGGUAGGCUGAAGCCCCCUGUAUAGGGGGUGGAGGGCCGAACCGGUCUUGACGUGCAAUUCGGUCGGAUGACCCUGGACUAGUGGCGAAAGACCCAUCAAGCCCGGUGACAGCUGGUUCCUCCCGAAGCUGGCCGCAGUCAGGCCCGGCGCGAGGUCGCCUGUGGUGUAGAGCACCGAUUGGGAGUGGAUGGGGGGAAACCCUCACCCUCCCUGUCGAACUCCGAAGCCGCAGGCACCGUAGACCGCCGGAGACGGGGUGCGGGGGGUAAGCUCCCGCUCCGAGAGGGGAACAACCCAGACCGGGGUUAAGGUCCCCAAAUGCGGGCUAAGUGUCGAAAUCCAAAGGAAGUCCCCUCUCUUAGACAGCGGGGAGGUAGGCUCAGAAGCAGCCACCCUUUAAACAACGCGUAAAAGCGGACCCGCCGAGAGGGGGGGCGCCGAAGAUGGACGGGGCUCAAGCCCGCUACCGAGACCCCGGGGCAGGGAAACCUGAUCCGGUAGGGAGGCGUCCGGCGCGGGGAGAAGCUCGGCCGUGAGGUCGAGUGGACCGCGUCGGAUUGCGGAUCCUGGCGGUAGUAACAGCAAAGCCGGGUGAGAAUCCCGGCCGCCGAAGGGGCCCGGGUUCCUCGGCAAUGAUCGUCAGCCGAGGGUCAGCCGGUCCUAAGGUGGCUCUCAACCAGACGCCACCGAAAGGGAAUCCGGUUAACAUUCCGGAGCCGCCUAGGUACCAGCGGCGACGCAAGCCCUCCUGCCGACGGCUCGGGGCAGGGCGAGUGGGACCGUCGUCCCAUCCAACCGCUCAAGUCUGGGGAGUUCCGUAAAGGAGAGAACCAGACGAAGGCGGGAUGGGCCUGCCGCAAGGCGGGUUCGCCUGAUCCCUGGGUCCCAUGAAAAGGCAGGGGGGAAACGGGAUCCUAGGCGACCGUACCUAGAACCGACACAGGUGCCCCUGGGUGAGAAGCCCAAGGCGUGUCGGGUGACCCUGGGCCAGGGAAUUCGGCAAGUUAGCCCCGUAACUUCGGGAGAAGGGGUGCCCGCGGUCUCUAACCGUGAGUCCGGUCGCAAGGCCGGGCGAGCGGGGUGGGAUCGCGGGUCGCAGUGACAAGGGGGGGCCGACUGUUUAAUAAAAACAUAGCUAGCCGCGAGGCCGAAAGGCUGUGUAUGGCUAGUGAAUUCUGCCUACAGGCGGUACGUGAAAGCCGGGUUCAACCGGCCGAAGCGCCGCCAAUGGGCGGGGGUAACUAUAACCCUCUUAAGGUAGCGUAAUACCUUGCCGCUUAAUUGGCGGCUUGCAUGAAGGAAUCAACGAGCCCCCCACUGUCCCGGCCCAGAGCCCGGUGAACCCACUUACCGGCGAACAUGCCGGUGACCCCCGGAGGGAAACGAAGACCCCGUGGACCUUUACUGCAGCCUGUCGCUGGGAUACGGCUCUGGGUGCAGAGCGUAGGUGGGAGCCGCUGAGUCCGGAUCUCCGGGUCCGGCGGAGGCGCCAAUGUAACACCACCCAUCUGGAGUUGUGUCCCUAACCCCCGAAAGGGGAGACAACGGCAGGCGGGCAGUUUCGCUGGGGCGGCAGCCCCUGGAAAAGAUAGCCAGGGGGCCCAAAGGUCGGCUCAGGCGGGUCAGGACUCCGCCGUAGACCGCAAGGGGAAAAGCCGGCCUGACUGCGAGCUCACUACCAAGGCUCGCAGGGGCGAAAGCCGGGCCUAGCGAACCCGUGUGUCCCUAUUGGUGGGGGCCACGGAUGACAGAAAAGGUACCCCGGGGAUAACAAAAUCGUCGCGGGCGAGAGUCCCCAUCGACCCCGCGGUUUGUAGUCUCGCUGUCGGCUCUUCCUAUCCUGGCCGUGCAGCAGCGGCCAAGGGUGGGGUUGUUCGCCCAUCAAAAGGGAACGUGAGCUGGGUUUAGACCGUCGUGAGACAGGUCGGAUGCUAUCUUCCGGGGGUGCCCGCCGCCUGAGGGGAAGGUGGCCCUAGUACGAGAGGAACAGGCCGCCGGCGCCUCUGGUUUACCGGUCGUCCGACAGGGCGUCGCCGGGUAGCCACGCGCCAGCCGAUAAGGCCUGAAGGCAUCUAAGGCCGAAGCGGCCCCCGAAAACAGGCGGCGUACCCUCCGUCCCGAAAGGGUCGGAGGGGGAGGGCUGGGGCUAGAAGACCCCGUUGAUAGGCCGGGGGUGUAAGCGCCAAGCCCGAAAGGGCGAGGCGUUCAGCCCACCGGUACUAAUCGCCCAAAGAC
rnacentral:rRNA from 1 species